rnacentral:rRNA from 1 species
CCUACGGGGGGCAGCAGUAGGGAAUAUUGCUCAAUGGGGGAAACCCUGAAGCAGCAACGCCGCGUGGAGGAUGAAGGUUUUCGGAUUGUAAACUCCUUUUGUUAGAGAAGAUAAUGACGGUAUCUAACGAAUAAGCACCGGCUAACUCCGUGCCAGCAGCCGCGGUAAUACGGAGGGUGCAAGCGUUACUCGGAUUCACUGGGCGUAAAGGGCGCGUAGGCGGGAUAGCAAGUCAGAUGUGAAAGCCUAUGGCUUAACCAUAGAACUGCAUUUGAAACUGUUAGUCUAGAGUAUGGGAGAGGUAGGUGGAAUUCUUGGUGUAGGGGUAAAAUCCGUAGAGAUCAAGAGGAAUACUGAUUGCGAAGGCGACCUGCUAGAACAUAACUGACGCUGAUGCGCGAAAGCGUGGGGAGCAAACAGGAUUAGAUACCCUAGUAGUC